rnacentral:misc_RNA from 1 species
UCCCAAGAGGUAUAGACAAGUUUUAAUGAAAGAUGUCUAGGAUUUAGUAGUGAGAAUUCAUGGGAAAUGGAAGUGAUGAAAGAAAAUUUUUAUGGAGGGAGAUGGAAGAGAGGGUCACGGCUAGAUGAAGAAGAAGAAACCAGAAAUUGGUUUCUUAAUUUGUCAUUUUUCCCUUUUUAAAGAAUUUUAGUUGUGUUGUUGAAUGGUGAUUAGUGGAGGGCAUUUAAAUGACAUCAUAGUGAUGUCAUAAUUAGGGAUUUAAGUCAUUUUCUUUUUCUUUCUUUUCUAUUCAUUUUUAAUUU